rnacentral:rRNA from 1 species
GUCCAUGGCCAUACCAUCCUGAAUGCACCCUAUCUCCUCUGAUCUGGGAAGCUAAGCAGGGUUGGGCCUGGUUAGUACUUGGGAGAAUACUAUUCAGCUAUUAAAA